GAUGAAGAACGUAGCGAAAUGCGAUAACUAGUGUGAAUUGCAGAAUUUAGUGAAUCAUCGAAUCUUUGAACGCACAUUGCGCCCCUUGGUAUUCCGGGGGGCAUGCCUGUUCGAGCGUCAUUUCAACCCUCAAGCUCUGCUUGGUCUUGGGCCGCGCCGGCGACGGCGGGCCUCAAAAACAGUGGCGGCGCCAUCUGGUUCCUCAGCGUAGUAAUUCUUCUCGCUGUUGGGCCCGGGUGGCCGCUGGCCAGCAACCCCAAAUUUUCUAUGGUUGACCUCGGAUCAGGUAGGGAUACCCGCUGAACUUAAGCAUAUCAAUAAGCGGAGGA
rnacentral:misc_RNA from 1 species